ensembl:lncRNA
GCGCUCUUCCUGUUUACCGGCAUUCAACAGAGGUCUGUGGUUAAAACACAGCCGUUUGGGCAUUUUAACACCGCUUGUGUCAUUUUGUGGGGCUUUGCGUACACUGGAGAGUCUAUUGUAAACAACCGUUACGUGCGGUCUGGCUCGUUACACUGCCUAGUCCCAGCAUUCCCGUGUGUUUACCGUUUGAGUGGGGACAUCCAAUAUAUGCUGUUUGGCAUCUACUUCAUUUCUAUCCCGUGGAUACUGACGUCAGCUCUGCUUUCUGGUGUGGCAAACGGCUGCGUUAUUUGGAGCUGUGUGUCCGACGGCAGUGAGGCUUUCCUUCACCGUGUGCUGUGUUAUGCUGUGUGAGCACCACUGAUAAAAUCACGGGAACAAGACAGCAGCGUAGACUCUUUGAAGGGUCUCUUUGGCUACCUCCCCUGAUUGUGUUUCAGGUCCAAAUUUUCUUUCUGCCCCGCCUUGCUUGGUGGUAAGUGUUUUACUAAAAGUUAGCUAUGGCAGAAGAAUUACAAGAACUUCAGGAUCUUGUGGCCCAAUUAAGAGCUGAUAAUGAGAGACUUAGACAAGAACAGACUCAAAUUGUUAUUCCAGGUCCCAGUACAGCUCCUAUUUCUACCACCUUACCCUCUGGUGCACAGCAAUCUGCUGGUGCAAGUGCCCCAUCUACUGAGCGAUUUGUGUUUGUUCCCCGAGAUAGGAAGUGCCCAAAAUUUAGCGGGAGACCCGGUAUUACCAUAAAUGAAUGGGUAGAGGAGGCCCAAGCCUGUAUGCGGGUUCGCCAUUUGUCUAGAGCUGAUCAAGCAUUCUUUCUUUUUGAUCAUUUAGAGGGAGAAGCUCGGGAUGAGAUCA